rnacentral:rRNA from 1 species
AGCGAACGCUGGCGGCAGGCCUAACACAUGCAAGUCGAACGAACCUUUCGGGGUUAGUGGCGGACGGGUGAGUAACACGUGGGAACGUGCCUUUAGGUUCGGAAUAACUCAGGGAAACUUGUGCUAAUACCGAAUGUGCCCUUCGGGGGAAAGAUUAAUCGCCUUUAGAGCGGCCCGCGUCUGAUUAGCUAGUUGGUUGAGGUAAUGGCUCACCAAGGCGACGAUCAGUAGCUGGUCUGAGAGGAUGAUCAGCCACAUUGGGACUGAGACACGGCCGGAACUCCUACGGGAGGGAGGAGAGGGGAAUCUAGCGCAAUGGGCGAAAGCCUGACGCAGCCAUGCCGGGUGAAUGAUGAAGGUCUUAGGAUUGUAAAAUUCUUUCACCGGGGACGAUAAUGACGGUACCCGGAGAAGAAGCCCCGGCUAACUUCGUG